rnacentral:rRNA from 1 species
AGGAUACUCUCUUGGUGUGUACUGGGUGUUAACCUCCUUUUUUCUGGUACUUGCUAUCCAGCAAUGGGUAGUUUUGUCCAGAUAGUUUACUUUGAAAAAUUAGAGUGUUCAAAGCAGGCAUAAUUGGCAUCAUGAAUACAUUAGCAUGGGAUAAUAGAAUAUGACAUUGGUCUUAUUUUGUUGGUUUCUAAGGCCAAAGUAAUGAUUGAUAGGGAUAGUUGGGGCCGCUCGUAUUGAGUUGUCAGAGGUGAAAUUCUAGGAUUUACUCAAGACGAACUAAUGCGAAAGCAUUCGGCAAGGAUGUUUUCAUUAAUCAAGAACGAAAGUUGGGGGAUCGAAGAUGAUCAGAUACCGUCGUAGUCUUAACUAUAAACUAUGCCGACCAGGGAUAUGAGUUGUUAGGAUUAUACGAAAGUAUAAUCAAUUUCUUCUUAUGGACCUUGUGAGAAAUCAUAAG